rnacentral:rRNA from 1 species
UAUGAACGCUGGCGGCGUGCCUAACGCAUGCAAGUCGAACGAAGCAUCAUAAAGGAAGUUUACGGAUGGAAUUUAAGAUGACUGAGUGGCGGACGGGUGAGUAACGCGUGAGCAACCUGCCUUUCAGAGGGGGACAACAGUUGGAAACGGCUGCUAAUACCGCAUAAUGUCAUUUAAGGGCAUCCUUGGAUGACCAAAGCUUAAUGUGCUGAAAGAUGGUCUCGCGUCUGAUUAGCUGGUUGGUGAGGUAACGGCUCACCAAGGCGACGAUCAGUAGCCGGUCUGAGAGGAUGAACGGCCACAUUGGGACUGAGAUACGGCCCAG